CUUCUCUCCAGCCAGCUCACCACGAGUCCUGUGUCACCUGCCACAUCACACACUCUUGCCAGUCAUUGAAGUCCUACUCCUGAGACCAAGACUGUAAACCUUGGGGUGAGGAGAGUGUUGGGGCCUCUCCCUGGGAGAGGAGCCCUUUCUGGGAUUGCUAAGCCGACAGUAGACAUCUAGAGCUGUCACCCAUUUCCUGUCUCUGUGUGGAGAAAGCUGACCAGGUGCAGCAGACAAUGGGCCAAACCCAAAGGGAAGGAGAGCAAAGUGACUGCGAGGACAGAAAGCUCUGUCAACUGCCCCUGAGUCCCAGGAUCUAGUGGUGCCCGAGCUCCAAACGUUUCUCCAUCACUGUCUCUGGUCGGUGCUGGGUCCUGGCCACUUGCAAGUCAUGGAAGGUCGCUCUGCCACUAGGGCCCCAUAAAAAUGAGGAUAAUGGGGUGGGGUUUCGGGGCUCCUCCAGCUCUGUGACUCCAGCUCACUACCAAAGCCCGUGAUAAACCCCGACAGCCAGGCCUGCAUCCCCUAGAAAUCCCGGUAUUCCAUGGGAGGAAGGUGGGGGUCAGGAAUUGCACAUCUGUUCUUGUUCCCUGGUCACCACGGCUGUCUGAGGCAGGGGUCUGCCCCCAUGUUUCAGGGCAGUGAACUGAGCCUCAGUGAAGCCUUGCAGUGUGCUCAAGGCCAAGUGCUGGUGAGCCAGAGGCCGGUUAGAAUCCAGAUCAGCUCGAUGCCUGCACCCUGCCUCUCCUCUUACAGAACAAGGGUUGCUAGUCACAGAUAAUCAGGCUCACCAGCAUUUUUGUGUUUGUAAGAAGUAGACUCCUAAAGCAGGCUCCGGGCUGACUCUGGGGCAGAAAGUCUGGUCCAGCUGUGCUGUCACCGACCCCCAUCUGCCACUCUCCAGGCUAGUGUGCUGGUUGCCCUGCCUCCAGAGCCGGGAGAGAGCACAUUUCUGUUGCUUAAAGCCACCAGGUUUGUGAUCAGUCAUUCCUUCAGUCACAGAAAGUGCAGUCCCUAUGAUCUCUACACUCAGCUUCAGGCUAACCACUCUGAAACUCAGAUAAAGAGCCAGGGCUGGGGACAGUCUUUGGUGAUACCAACCGUCCAGUGACUUGUCAGCUCUACUUGUGGAAGUAGGAACAACUUGGGAAGGAACGCAGGACGCUGGGUGUAGCUGGUCACUCUGCAUGAGUCACACUGGGACAGACUAUCUCAGCUUCCUUGCUAUUUCCAGGACAGAGAGAAAGACUAUGGUCACCUGGUCCCCACAGAGACACCAAUACCCACCAGUCUUGACUACAAAAGAAAAAAAAUUUUAAGUUUUUUAAACUUUAUAAUUAUAAAAAAAAUUUUUUUAAGUUUAUAAAAUAACUUGCUGCAGUUUGAAUAGGCUUUGUCCCCUGAAACUCGCAAUGAAGUUUAAUCCUAGUUGUGAGGUACUAAGGGGAAGGAACUUGACCUGGCCGUGGUGUGCAGAGUGGGGGGCCUUG
rnacentral:lncRNA from 1 species